UCCACUUUCUAGGUCUCUCUCUCUCGAUACCGCCACCACCCGUAACCGAGCCCUAAUCAAAUCGCCGCCUUCCUCCUAAUCAAAUCGCCCAUCACUCGAACAAUUUCCGAUUCGGGUCGUUGGUGUGUGGUUUCUCAUUGGACUCCUCCUGAGGCUUGAUUGAGUCGACGAAGUGAGGUAAGGAAAUCGAUUGCAUCGCAUCACUAACUUUUCUUCGGCUCCGACUACUCCCACCCUUCUCACCUUUCUGGUCUGCUUCCUCUCUCCUCAUCUCAAUUUCUCUGCUUUGCUUUUCGAUUCUGCGAUCUGGUUCGUGUCGGUUUGAAUCUGAAAUGGUUAAUUUGUAUUGUAUGAAUCUGAAUUCGUUAGAGCUUUAUUCUUUAUAGCGCCGGAUUGGUUUUGGUUUGGGAAUUUGUGAUCUGAAGCAUUUGUUUUGAGCCUGAGCUGACAUUGGAAUUGCUAAACUGAGUUUAAAAUGUGAUUCAUUGUUGUUUGGUGAUUAUGAAUGCUUGAUAUGUGAAUAUUUGUGAAACUAUGAGAUUGUCUUACGUUAACUCCAUAGAAUCAAUCUGGUGGCCUUAGCCAUUCAGCUGAAGGUUCUCACUUUUGUUUUUAGAUCCAUGGUUUGGGCUGUAUAACUUGUCGAGUUUGGCUUUGUUGUUCUUGUGUGGUAUUGGAUUUUCAAUCAGGAUAUUGUAUUACAUUAGACAUUUGAGAUGAUUGUUGCUUCAUUUACUGGUUUGAUGGGUUCAACUUGUUUUUACUAUUCUCUUGCGGACGAUGGAACUCAUGCCAUGAAAAAAGUUCUCAUUCAGAAUAGCGAACAGUUGGAGUUGGUGAAGGAGGAGAUCCGAGUUUCAUCACUUUUCACUCAUCCUAAUCUUGCUUCCACUUCUUGAUCAUGCCAUUAUUUCUGUUAAGAUGUCUCUCUUUUCCUCUGCCUUGCAGAAAUGGUACCCAUGGAGAUAGAUGAAAAGGAGACUGAUCUGUAUUUGGUGCUGUUGAAAUUUGAACUGGGAUUUUCAUCGAACAGAGGGCUGACUCUUUAUCAUCUUCUGUGAUAUCUGAUCAUAGGGUUGAAUUAAUUUGUGGGUUAUCAUUUUGUAACUGCUUCAUGCUACUGUAGCUUGCAUUGAGUUCAAUUAUGGAGUUUUGAAUCAUCUCAGCCUCCUUUACUUAUUCAGGGUAGGUGGAGAUCUUCUCCUUGCAAGAAUAAAAACAGAAGGCUUUUACUUUCUCUGAGUAAGUUUCAGAAUUUUUGGGUCUAAUUCUGAGUUUUAUUGUAGCUUUCUGUAUAGGUGAGAGAUGAGUUUCUAUGGAGAACUUACGAAUAGGGCUGUGGAGACUGAUAUGCCAGUCAUGGUUCAGGUAUUGAGGCCAAAACUCCCACUGGGUUUUUGUUAAAGUUUUUGAAUUUAUUCUGUUAUGAGGUUCAGUUUUGGUGUGAGUUUUAAUAAGUUUGCCAAUGAUAAUGGUUCAAUUAGUCUUAUGAUUCUGCAUGUGUCAUGUAUAAGUCAGAUUGUAAUCCAUGCUCAAGAAUUAAAAAAAAAACGUCAAGUUAUGUCAUGCUUGGGUGUAGAAUGGCGAGCAUCUCCAUGGUUACAGUUCUGAGGAGGUUAGGGUACAUGUAUAAUCUUCUUUGGCUUUGCAUCAACUUCUUAUACAACAGUUGGCAAACUUUUUGAGCUACAUUGUAUUGUUACAAGGUCGAGACUCAAAGGCA